rnacentral:misc_RNA from 1 species
GCAGAAGAAGUUGUAGAAAACAUUCAGUCAGCCAAAUUCACUUUGACAAUACAUGACACAGUAGUUUGAUCCCAUCAUAAAUGGUUCUUAUAUUAAGUAGAAUGAUUAUUAAGGAGAAAAAAACACAAUUAUAUGGCAUAAUUAAUCAAAUCAAUCCAUUUUCUUCUAGAUGAUACCCAUUAUCAUUGGCUUCUUUAUCCCAAAAAUCCUCCUUCAUAUAAUGCUCAAACUUCACAACCGCACUCUCUGGCAGCGACACGAGCACGGUGACCGCUUCAUCAUCGCCAAUAACCGGCAAAAACAAGCAGUAAAUGUCACUAGUCAAAGGCCCCAUAUGCAAUGGCUUCCCUUCUCCAAAAUCCAAAUCCUCUAAUCCUAAUUUUGACCACUGAGAGAUGACCAAACUUGCCGAAAGGUCAGUUUUUACGGUUUUAUCCUCCAAGAAAUCAAUCAUUGACCUCACAUAAUCAUCGUUUAAACAAGAUUUAGCAUGUUGAACCAACUUCACCCCAUGAUGCAAAGUACUAGAGACCAAAUCCUUAACAUAGGUCUGAGCACACCCAAGGACGAAUCCAUUGCCAUAAUACCCUGGUGGUAUUUCUGGGAUUAACUUUUUCCUGACGUUAACUGAGAAAAGGAGCUUGACGUUGAGGGCAGAUGGCAAGUCCAGUGAUCUAACCCAACAGCGCCACGCGUGUGAUGCCAGUAUUUCGAAGGUGGUACACUUGAGUGAGGGCACGCACUGCCUCUUGAGGUGGAGGAUAUGAGACGUGCUAAAGGUUAAGGAAGCGGGCACCAGUGGCUGAGACUGUAAAUAGUGGUUAAGGCACAAGGCCGGUUGUGGUUCAGUGUCCGCAGUUCUGACAUAACUAGGAUGAGUGAAGGUAACUUGUAGGGGAUUUCGGGGUUUUAACACGUAUCGGGAAUGAAACGGCACGAUUGGAAGAUCAUGAUUCGGUUUUGUGGUGAAGUGGGUCCAUGCCUGCAAGAACUGGGAUGUGCCUAUACCGUCACAUACGCAGUGAUUAACUCCUGUGCUUAUUAUCAUUCCUCCGCACCGCAGAUUCGUUACCUGAACGACAAGAGGAGGAAUAUCCAAGAAGCUCUGGGCUUCCACUCUAUACAAAAGCUUUCUCCAAGACCUGUUUGGUUUGCUAGAAAGUUCAAGAAACUGUUCAGCUGUGAUAUCCAUGAAAGCUUCAGCAAAGACCGCACCUUCUCCAUUGCAAUCAACCUCAAGCUUCUGAUCGUCUUCUUUGCUGGUUCUCAACCUCCCGGCUAAUGGGUAGUACUCCACGAGAACUUUAGAGAGUGAAUAUUUCAAGAUAUCUGAGCUCACAGAUUUUUUGAAAAGGUAGAGAUAUUUAAUGGAGAAUCUAAGGAACUUUUGAUCAUCAAGAUUGGAGAGAUAUAGAGAAUGGUUUGGGGUAGGGAUAGAAGGGGAGAUUAGAACUGGUUGGUUUUGAUACAAACAAUCCGGGAGGUCUGGAGAUUUGAACAUGUUUGCCAGUUGUUGUUCUUCGGUUCAAGUGUUAAUUUGUUGAAGAUGAUACAGAAGUUUAUAGAGAGGGAGAGAGAGGUUUGAAGACAAGAAAAACAGAGAUCUACGGCUGGAUAUGGUGAGGGUACGAUGAGAUUCCUUUUAGGAAGGGGUGAG